UACACUCCUACGGGAGGCAGCAGUGGGGAAUUUUGGACAAUGGGCGAAAGCCUGAUCCAGCAAUGCCGCGUGAGUGAAGAAGGCCUUCGGGUUGUAAAGCUCUUUUGUCAGGGAAGAAACGGUGAAAGCUAAUAUCUUUUGCUAAUGACGGUACCUGAAGAAUAAGCACCGGCUAACUACGUGCCAGCAGCCGCGGUAAUACGUAGGGUGCAAGCGUUAAUCGGAAUUACUGGGCGUAAAGCGUGCGCAGGCGGUUUUGUAAGUCUGAUGUGAAAUCCCCGGGCUCAACCUGGGAAUUGCAUUGGAGACUGCAAGGCUAGAAUCUGGCAGAGGGGGGUAGAAUUCCACGUGUAGCAGUGAAAUGCGUAGAUAUGUGGAGGAACACCGAUGGCGAAGGCAGCCCCCUGGGUCAAGAUUGACGCUCAUGCACGAAAGCGUGGGGAGCAAACAGGAUUAGAUACCCGAGUAGUCCC
rnacentral:rRNA from 1 species